GACGUAGGAUGCGAGCGUUGUUCGGAAUUAUUGGGCGUAGAGGGCUCGUAGGCGGUUUGUCGCGUCGGGAGUGAAAACCUUGGGCUUAACUCAGGGCUUGCUUUCGAUACGGGCAGACUAGAGGUAUGCAGGGGAGAACGGAAUUCCUGGUGUAGCGGUGAAAUGCGCAGAUAUCAGGAGGAACACCGGUGGCGAAGGCGGUUCUCUGGGCAUGAUCUGACGCUGAGGAGCGAAAGUGUGGGGAGCGAACAGG
rnacentral:rRNA from 1 species